UACAGAGGUCUCAAGCGUUGUUCGGAUUCAUUUGGGCGUAAAGGGUGCGUAGGUGGCGCCGUAAGUCAGGUGUGAAAUUUUCGGAGCUUAACUCCGAAACUGCAUUUGAUACUGCGGUGCUUGAGGACUGGAGAGGAGACUGGAAUUUACGGUGUAGCAGUGAAAUGCGUAGAGAUCGUAAGGAAGACCAGUGGCGAAGGCGG
rnacentral:rRNA from 1 species